rnacentral:rRNA from 1 species
AUUGAACGCUGGCGGCAGGCUUAACACAUGCAAGUCGAGCGGGGUGAUGGUGCUUGCACUAUCACUUAGCGGCGGACGGAUGAGUAAUGCUUAGGAAUCUGCCCAUUAGUGGGGGACAACAUAGCGAAAGGGAUGCUAAUACCGCAUACGUCCUACGGGUGAAAGCAGGGGAUCACUUGUGACCUUGCGCUAAUAGAUGAUCCUAAUGCGGAUUAGCUAGUUGGUGGGGUAAAGGCCUACCAAGGGGACGAUCUGGAGCGGGUCUGAGAGGAUGAUCCGCCACACUGGGACUGAGACACGGCCCAGACUCCUACGGGAGGCAGCAGUGGGGAAUAUUGGACAAUGGGGGGAACCCUGAUCCAGCCAUGCCGCGUGUGUGAAGAAGGCCUUAUGGUUGUAAAGCACUUUAAGCGAGGAGGAGGCUCUUUUGGUUAAUACCCAAGAUGAGUGGACGUUACUCGCAGAAUAAGCACCGGCUAACUCUGUGCCAGCAGCCGCCGUAA